rnacentral:lncRNA from 1 species
CUAAGUCCAAACAGUUUGAAGCUAUAUUGGUAGUAGUGGAUAGAUUAUCUAAAUAUGCACACUUUAUACCCCUGAAACAUCCCUAUACAGCCCGAAGUAUAGCAGAAAUUUUUUGCAAGGAAAUAAUCAAAUUACAUGGCCUUCCUUUAUCAAUAGUAAGUGACAGGGACCCUAUCUUCAUGAGUAACUUCUGGAAGGAAAUAUUCAAGUUGCAAGGAACCAAACUCAAGAUGAGUACAGCCUAUCAUCCAAAAUCUGAUGGCCAAACAGAAGUGGUAAACAGAUGUCUGGAAACUUAUCUGAGAUGUUUUGUAGCUGAUCAACCAAGGACUUGGGUGACGUGGAUUCAUUGGGCUGAGUACUGGUAUAACACUACUUACCAUGCCUCAACAGGUAAGACACCAUUUGAGGUGGUGUAUGAAAGACUUCCACCUCGGCUGACAAGAUGGGUGCAAGGAGAAACUAGAGUGGCCAGUGUGCAGCGGGACUUGAUGGACAGAGAUGAAGCUCUGAAACAAUUAAAAAUUCAGUUAGUGAAGGCACAAGAGAGAAUGAAGAGUCAGGCAGACAAGAAGAGAAGUGACAGAAGUUUUAUGUGUGGGGAAUGGGUGUUUGUCAAGCUUAGAGCCCACCGGUAGCAAUCUGUAGUUACCAGAAUUAAUGCUAAAUUAGCUGCCAAGUAUUAUGGCCCUUACCCAAUAAUAGAAAGAAUAGGAGCAGUGGCUUACAAACUCAAAUUACCUGAAGGAUCUAGGGUGCACCCUGUUUUCCAUGUUUCCUUAUUGAAGAAGGCAGUGGGAAAUUACCAAGAAGACACAGAACUCCCAGACCUGUUGGAAGAACACGUAGAGGUUUAUGAACCUGAAGCUGUACUUGCUACCCGGAAGGUGAAGCAGCAUGGGGAAGAGGUGAAACAGUUACUAAUUCAUUGGAAGGGCAAGACUAUGGAGGAAGCUACUUGGGAGGAGGAAUUAAUGAUUAGAAGUCAGUUUCCGAAAUUUGACCUUGAGGACAAGGUCCAUUUUGAUGGAGGAGGUAUUGAUAGAACCCAAACAAAUGAGGAAGCACCACAUCAGCAAUUAAUUCACUCAGCAACUAGUGGGGCCAAGCCGUUAUUGGUUUAUUCUAGAAGAAAGGGCAGAUUGGGAAAUAGUGGCUAAGGUUGUUAGAAAUGAGGUGACGUUGGGAGAGAGCAUCACAACAUUUCCUUUCCUAGUUAUAAGGAGUGAGAGAGGGAAUGGAGGGGCAUCUUUGCAUUCUGUCUGUUAGUGCAGUGAGGGUAGAGAGUACUGACUCUCUAUUGAUUACAGAUCUAGGGAUCUGUAAUUCAUUCUUCUGUACCUUGCUCCUUUACACAACCAUAUAAUAAAGCUCUUUCUCUUAAAUACUGUUAUUAUUAUUACUAUUCUAUUGUGUACUGCGUUGGUACGUAACAAUUUACGACAUUCAGAAAUUUCCUGUUGAAUUUUGUAGAUUUUGGAGUCGUCUCCUUGAGAGAAUUUGUCAUGUAGACCAUUUCAAAUUUUCGCUGCCGUAUCUGAGAAGAUUACGCUGCGAGUUAUGUCUGGUUCAAUAGAGUGAAGGAUCCAUGUUAAAACCAAAUUGUUGCAACACUGCCACAAAGGGAAUCUCGGAUCAGCUGUCGAUGGCGCUUUCACGAUUUUGUCGAUUAAGCUGAGUUUGUUCUUAGCAUUGAGGCUGAGGCGCAUUGAGCAACUCCAUUCACCGUAGUUACGUCCAUUCAAAGGUAUUUUAACUAGCCUGAUUACUGGUGUGUUAGAAUGGUGCAGGAUCAAAGGAUCAUGCAAUGAUGUUUGCAUCCCCUUUGUAGCCUUUUUUUGUCUCUUCUGAUUUCUCUAGUAUUUCAACCAUACCAUUGUUGUUGUCACCUAUUUGGUAUUCUGAUUUUUAUUUUAUUGCGGAAGGGUUUAGGUUGGGUAGGCACCUUAAUCGUGCUCUGAUACCAUAAACAAAUAUAUAGAAAGGUAAUUUGUACAAACGGCUUGUUAUAUAGACAUAGUUGAGGACAAUGCUCAAUCGUAAUGAACUAUCUGAGAGAUACAAUUAUAAUAAUAAUAUUAUAAUUUUAUAUUUAUAAAUGAAAAUUGUNNNNNNNNNNNNNNNNNNNNNNNNNNNNNNNNNNNNNNNNGUUAGUGCAAGUGAGGGUAGACAGUACUGACUCUACUCUCUAUUGAUUACAGAUCUAGGGAUCUGUAAUUCAUUCUUCUGUACCUUGCUCCUUUACACAACCAUAUAAUAAAGCUCUUUCUCUUAAAUACUGUUAUUAUUA